GACGAACGCUGGCGGCGUGCUUAACACAUGCAAGUCGAACGGAAAGGCCCUGCUUUUGUGGGGUGCUCGAGUGGCGAACGGGUGAGUAACACGUGAGUAACCUGCCCUUGACUUUGGGAUAACUUCAGGAAACUGGGGCUAAUACCGGAUAGGAGCUCCUGCUGCAUGGUGGGGGUUGGAAAGUUUCGGCGGUUGGGGAUGGACUCGCGGCUUAUCAGGUUGUUGGUGGGGUAGUGGCUUACCAAGGUUUUGACGGGUAGCCGGCCUGAGAGGGGGACCGGCCACAUUGGGACUGAGAUACGGCCCAGACUCCUACGGGAGGCAGCGGUGGGGAAUAUUGCACAAUGGGCGGAAGCCUGAUGCAGCAACGCCGCGUGCGGGAUGACGGCCUUCGGGUUGUAAACCGCUUUCGCCUGUGACGAAGCGUGAGUGACGGUAAUGGGUAAAGAAGCACCGGCUAACUACGUG
rnacentral:rRNA from 1 species